rnacentral:rRNA from 1 species
UCUCGUAGCUUGCUAUGAGAACAAUUAGUGGCAGACGGGUGAGUAAUGCAUAGGAAUCUACCUAGUAGUAUAGGAUAGCCACUAGAAAUGGUGGGUAAUACUGUAUAAUCCCUGCGGGGGAAAGAUUUAUCGCUACAUGAUGAGCCUAUGUUAGAUUAGCUAGUUGGUGGGGUAAUGGCCUACCAAGGCAGUGAUCUAUAGCUGGUCUGAGAGGAUGAUCAGCCACACUGGAACUGAGACACGGUCCAGACUCCUACGGGAGGCAGCAGUGGGGAAUAUUGGACAAUGGGCGCAAGCCCGAUCCAGCUAUGCCGCGUGAGUGAGGAAGGCCUUAGGGUUGUAAAACUCUUUCAGUGGGGAAGAUAAUGACGGUACCCACAGAAGAAGUCCCGGCAAACUCCGUGCCAGCAGCCGCGGUAAUACGGAGGGGGCAAGCGUUGUUCGGAAUUAUUGGGCGUAAAGGGCAUGUAGGUGGUUUGGUAAGUUAAAGGUGAAAUGCCAGGGCUUAACCCUGGAGCUGCUUUUAAUACUGCCAGACUGGAGUCCGGGAG